GAUGAACGCUAGCGGGAGGCUUAAUACAUGCAAGUCGAGGGGUAACGAUAGAGCUUGCUCUAGGCGACGACCGGCGCACGGGUGAGUAACGCGUACACGAUCUACCUUAUACUGGGGGACAUAUACUGGAAACGGAGUAAAUACCCCAUGGUAUUAUAGAUUUAGAUUUUUAUAAUUAAAGGUUUCGGCCGGUAUAAGAUGAGUGUGCGUCCGAUUAGAUAGUUGGUAAGGUAACGGCUUACCAAGUCGACGAUUGGUAGGGGGCGUGAGAGCGUGACCCCCCACACGGGUACUGAGACACGGACCCGACUCCUACGGGAGGCAGCAGUAAGGAAUAUUGGACAAUGGGGGCAACCCUGAUCCAGCCAUCCUGCGUGGAGGAAGACGGCCCUAUGGGUUGUAAACUUCUUUUAUAUAGGAAGAACUACAUUCAUUUAUGAGUGUUUGACGGUACUAUAUGAAUAAGCACCGGCUAACUCCG
rnacentral:rRNA from 1 species